rnacentral:rRNA from 1 species
UACGUAGGGCGCAAGCGUUGUCCGGAAUUAUUGGGCGUAAAGAGCUCGUAGGCGGCUUGUCACGUCGAUUGUGAAAGCCCGGGGCUUAACUCCGGGUCUGCAGUCGAUACGGGCUAGCUAGAGUGUGGUAGGGGAGAUCGGAAUUCCUGGUGUAGCGGUAAAUGCGCAGAUAUCAGGAGGAACACCGGUGGCGAAGGCGGGUCUCUGGGCCGAUACUGACGCUGAGGAGCGAAAGCGUGGGGAGCGAACAGG